UGGGGGAAUAUUGGGCAAUGGGCGAAAGCCUGACCCAGCAAUGCCGCGUGAGGGAAGAAGGUCUUCGGAUUGUAAACCUAAGUUGUCAGGGACGAAACAAAUGACGGUACCUGAAAAGAAAGCUCCGGCUAACUACGUGCCAGCAGCCGCGGUAAUACGUAGGGAGCGAGCGUUGUCCGGAUUUACUGGGUGUAAAGGGUGCGUAGGCGGGUUUGCAAGUCAGGCGUGAAAUACCGAGGCUCAACUUCGGAGCUGCGCUUGAAACUGUAGAUCUUGAGUGAAGUAGAGGCAAGCGGAAUUCCUAGUGUAGCGGUGAAAUGCGUAGAUAUUAGGAGGAACACCAGUGGCGAAGGCGGCUUGCUGGGCUUUAACUGACGCUGAGGCACGAAAGCAUGGGGAGCAAACAGGAUUAGAUACCCUGGUAGU
rnacentral:rRNA from 1 species